rnacentral:rRNA from 1 species
UACGGAGGAUGCGAGCGUUAUCCGGAUUUAUUGGGUUUAAAGGGUGCGUAGGCGGGAUGCCUAGUCAGCGGUAAAAGUGCGGUGCUCAACGCCGUCGAGCCGUUGAAACUGGCGUUCUUGAGUGGGCGAGAAGUAUGCGGAAUGCGUGGUGUAGCGGUGAAAUGCAUAGAUAUCACGCAGAACUCCGAUUGCGAAGGCGGCAUACCGGCGCCCUACUGACGCUGAGGCACGAAAGCGUGGGUAUCGAACAGG